ensembl:lincRNA Gm17259 predicted gene, 17259
AAAGGGGCGGCGCGGCCCGCCCGGGGCACCUUUAACUGUAGAUGGACAAGAGGUGUUCCACUCGGGGACUUUACCACGGGAACCGCUCAACAGCCACCAACCUCCACGCCUCGGGGACCACCCACCAGACAAGUUUCUGGGCGCGAUUGGCUGAAAUUGCCAACAGCCGGCCUAUUGGGGCGGAAGCGUAGCUGCUCUUCUAUUUUCAUUGGUCAGCAUUCAUGUCAAUCAAGUACACAUUUUUGGCCCUUGCUGUCAGUCUGGCCCCCUGGAUUGGCCAGGUUCUUUCCCGACUCCUUUGCGCGCGUGUUAGAGUCACCACGCGAGACUCAGGCAGGCAAGGCGAGGCCCCACGCGUGACAUGCACGGCAUCGACCGAGGGAAGGGAAAAGGCACAGCCCAAGCAGCCUGCUCAGAACGAGGGAGCAGUUUAUUGGGGAACCAGGUCUGCGAAAAGAUGUACAAUUUUAGGUGGCCGGUGCACCUGAGAAACUUAAAUCUAAAGGCGACAUUCUUUAUUCUUAGUUCAGUAAGGACCAAGCUAAGCGUUCUCCCCCAUACAUCUCCCAAGUGAUUUUAAGGCAGGCUGGAUUAUGGAUUAGGCUUUUCGUUUUGUUGUUUUGUUAGGUCAUUUACAAUGGGACUGGCCAAACCACCCUUUUCUUCUGUGCGAUUGGAAAUGUGUGCUUGCUUCUGCUUCUCAUUUUCUAGUGCUAUAAAGUGUUUAUGUGCGUCUUAUCUUCACUGCCCACCAAGCCUCUUAAAGUUUACUUAGAUCAUCAGACUGCGAGACUGACUGUUUUCUAGGCCAGGGUUCUGUUUACACGAGUAUUUGUACCAAACAAAAUAUCUGGAAUUUAGGUGCUCCAUAAAUAUUUGAUGCAUAAAAUGAGGUAUUAUUGUGGAAAACUUGGAAACUACUGAGCUAACUUGCAGUGCUUAUCGGUAUAAAUACAAUAAACUGGGGCUAGGAAUUAGAAACGGCAAAUACUGUAUGUAAGCUUAUAUGUGAACGAAGGACUCUGUGUAAUUGGCUAUGCAUGAGUUAAGCUAGAGUGUAGAUAGGAAUUUGGACAAGUAAAGGAUUGGAAUAAAGCUAAAAAGUAAUAGCUAAAUGAUAGCACUCCCAAAACCAAAGUAGAAAAAUGUUGAAGAACUCAACUGGGCAUGGUGCUACACAUGUUUAAUCCCAGCACCCAAGAGACAUGUAAGCAGAUCUUUGAAUUCUUUACAUUGUGAAUUGCAGGCCAGCCAGGACUAGUAGUAGACCCUGCCUAAAAUAUAAAAAUUAAGUACUUUUAUUAACAAGUUUAAAAGGAAAUUAGGCCGAGCAGUGGUGGCUCACGCCUUUAAUCCCAGCACUUGAGAGGCAGAGGCAGGUGAAUUUCUGAGUUCGAGGCCAGCCUGGUCUACAGAGUGAGUUCCAGGGCAGCCAUGGCUACACAGAGAAACCCUGUCUCGAAAAAACAAACAAACAAACAAAAAAGGGAAAUUAGAUUAAGUCAUAUAUAUACUAAAGAACACUAGUGAAAAAAAAAAAAACUACUAAAUUUUUAAGAUUGUAAAACUAAGCCUAAGAAGAAAAGUAUUAAAUGAAGGUGAAAAUAAACCAUUUAUAUGGAGAUGUUUGAAACAAAGGACAAAAUAUACUAAACUAGAAGGAAUAAAUUACUAAGAAAUAAUAUAAUGAGAUUUUUUAAAAUGAACUUUGAUAGAAUUAAAAAGCUGGUGAAAUAUUCUCAUUUAAUAUGAAGAAUUUUCUUGAAACACAUAAAUUUCACAUUCUUCUAGGAAGUGAAAUAAAGAAGAAAUUAUUACUUAAAGUUAAUACUUUAAAAGAAAGUUUUAAAUAGGCCAGCAAGCCAGUGCAUUGCUUAAAAGUAUUUCUCAUACCAGCCUGAUGAGGGAAGUUGGAUUCUCCUGCCUUGCAAACCCACUGGAAACCCAUUGUGAAAAGAGAGAACCACUCUCAAACAAUUGUCUUCUGACACCACACACACAAUAAUUAUUAUAAAUUUGAUGCUUCUAAUACAUAGUUAAAUUUAAAUUAUUUCAAAGAAAAUAAAAGUAACUAAAAGUAACCAAAAGUUGGAGAACUGGAUUUGGUCAAUAUAGACAAAAGUAAUCAAAUAAAAUUCUGUUUCUACAACUAAAACAUAUUUGAUCCACUUGGAUUUUUGUGCAAGUUUUUUUUUUAAGAUUCUUGAGCUAAUUUCCAUGCUUUAAAUUCAAUGCAUGAUAAUUAUAAUUUUUAUUUUGUAGCAAAGGUAACUAGCAAAAAUCUUCAGCAUGCUAAAAACUUUUGCAGACACUCAAAUCCAUUGGUCUUUAGCUGCUUCUCCCACCUUCUCUGAGAAGAUACUAAGACAACUUGCUACCCUGCUGUUUUUCUUUUAAAGUCAUAAAAUGGCCUUCAAAAAGAAAAGUGGGAACCUCAAUUGAACAAAGGCAGGGAACUGAUUUGGAGUAACAGUCUCAGAAAGCACACUCAUCUUCAAAAGCUUCCAGAAUGGGGGAUUGGCAUCACUCAUACCUAGGUAGGAAUUGCAAGACCCUAAACAAAUUACUUAUACAACGCUAUACCUACAUACCUAAUCUGGAGAAAUAUGGCAUCAUCGGUAAUGUUUUAACCUACCAAGCUUAUAGGAAUUUGUCCUAGAAGCAAUAUUAUUUUGUUUAUUAGGUAUUUUCUUCAUUUAUAUUUCAAAUGCUAUCCCAAAAGUCCCCCAUACCCUCCCUACCUAGAAGCAAUAUUAAAUGAAAACAUUUCACAAGUUGUGAUGGAUUAUAUAUGCUUGGGCCAAGGAAUGGCACUAUUAGGAGGUGUGGCCUUGUUGGAGUAGAUGUGUCACUGUGGGUAUGGGCUUUAAUAUCCUAGUCCUAGCUGCCUGGAACUGAGUAUUCAGCUAGCAGCCUUCAGAUGAAGAUGUAGAACUCUCAGGUUCUUCAGCACCAUGCCUGCUUGGAUGGGGCCAUGUUUCCAUCUUGAUGAUAAUGGACUGAACCUCUGACCCUGUAAGCCAGCCCCAAUUAAAUGUCCUUUAUAGGACUUGCAUUGGUCAUGGUGUCUGUUUACAGCAGUAAAACCCAACUAAGAUACAAGUCAACAAAGAGAACAAGGAAAUACAAGAAGCCUAAAAAGCUGUUGGCCUGAAACAGAUUGAUGGGUACUGGGAGCAAAACUCUCAAAAAGAAAAAUUAAAUGAAUAUCAAGCAAUGGAAAUGGAGACAAAGAAGGUGGAUGCAUUCACUGACAUGGUGAAGACAGUACUUAUCUCUAUACAGAAAAGCAAAGAUAAUUAAAAAGUUCUUGAAAAAUAAACAAUUUAAUAAGAAUGUCAUUUCUUAAAUAGUGCAUAGGUAAUACUACGUAGUAAGUUAAAACACUGUAGAAUUAUCAGUGACUCAUAAGUGACUAUUCUGGAGGCUGUGCAUAGAUUAUAGUAGUGUGGUAGGUAGAAUAAUAGCUAAGGCUACAUCUUGGUAUCCUGAAUCCAUAAAUAUGGUACCUAAUAAGGAAAAAAGAUGUCUACAAGUGUGAUUAGAGUUCAGACCUUGAGAUAUGACGUUAAAAUGGGUCAUGAGAGUGAACAGAGUCUAAUCACAAUGUCUAAUUCUGACAAGUACAGGAUUUUCCCCACCUGUGAUCAGGGCCAGAAAACUUGGUUUUGAGAACAGAACCAGAGACGUCAAAGGCAUCUCCCUGAGUCAUAGAUGCUAGAAGCUGGAAUCUAUCUAGCAGUGAAGAAAGAAUAAAGAUAUUGUAAAAGCAGGAUUGUCAGACUUCAAGACAGUGGGGAACACCACCAAAUGCAAAUGCAUAAAUUACUUAAAGACUUAUGAGAAUUUGGCAGAACAAUUUAUAACUCAAUUGUGCAGUUUGCCAUAGUAAACUUCAUAGAUGACAGUGUUGUUCCCAAUUUCAAAAGGCUAGAUAUGUCUGCUAGACAUUUCCAAAAGAAACCCAGUCUUUCCAACCACUUUUUGGCCCAGUGAAGCCUACAGAUAGUGUCUGGCUUUCAAAACUACAAGUAAACUUGUUUAAGAUUUGUCACAGCUACUAUAAAGUGCUUUCACAAAGAAUAUGUGAGAGGUGGCACAAUUAAAUAGUUCAAAUGCCAUUAACUACUACCAAAAUACUGGAAUAGACCCCUUUCUUGAUUACCAUUUUUUGAUCCCAUUAAAUCAGUUUCAGAAGUCACAAAAACAGUCAAAUAUCCCACAAGCUCUGUAUCACCUCUGUUACAGUUUGGUUUGGUUCCAUUGUGUGUUGGUUAAGAUUAUGAAUUAUAAAGAACAAUCUAAACCACUGCUCACUCAUCCUCGUCUUAAAUUUAUAGUAAAAUUAUUUCAUUUUCUGUUUUGGCAUUUGAGGAAAAUAUAAAAUGUGUUUUGUUGAUUACCUCCCAACACCACUCAUAAUUUAGGUAUCUUUCUAGUCAAUAGAAAAAUAUAAACUAUUUAAAAGGUCUGUACAAUUGACAAGAGCUGUGUGAUAGUUACAUUUCAAGGGAAAAUAUUGAUUUCAACUAAAAAUCAAAAAUUGUGAACAAAAUAUUUGAACAUUGAGUUCAGACUUAAAUUCAUAUUUAUUAAAGAAAGUAAAUAAAAUAAUUGUGUAUAUGC